rnacentral:rRNA from 1 species
GACGAACGCUGGCGGCGUGCUUAACACAUGCAAGUCGAGCGGUAAGGCCCUUUCGGGGGUACACGAGCGGCGAACGGGUGAGUAACACGUGGGUGACCUGCCUUUAGCUCUGGGAUAAGCCUGGGAAACUGGGUCUAAUACCGGAUAUGACUCCGCGGUGCAUGCUGUGGGGUGGAAAGCCUUGUGCGGCUGGAGAUGGGCCCGCGGCCUAUCAGCUUGUUGGUGGGGUGAUGGCCUACCAAGGCGACGACGGGUAGCCGGCCUGAGAGGGCGGCCGGCCACACUGGGACUGAGACACGGCCCAGACUCCUACGGGAGGCAGCAGUGAGGAAUAUUGCACAAUGGGGGCAACCCUGAUGCAGCAACGCCGCGUGAACGAAG